UACGGAGGGUGCAAGCGUUAUCCGGAUUCACUGGGUUUAAAGGGUGCGUAGGCGGACAGGUAAGUCAGUGGUGAAAUCUCCGGGCUUAACCCGGAAACUGCCGUUGAUACUAUUUGUCUUGAAUACUGUGGAGGUAAGCGGAAUAUGACAUGUAGCGGUGAAAUGCUUAGAGAUGAGAUAGAACACCAAUUGCGAAGGCAGCUUACUGCACAGCGAUUGACGCUGAGGCACGAGAGCGUGGGGAGCAAACAGG
rnacentral:rRNA from 1 species